GCCGAAUUAGCUCAGCCGGUAGAGCGACGCAUUCGUAAUGCGUAGGUCGUCAGUUCGAGUCUGACAUUCGGCU
rnacentral:tRNA from 1 species